AUACGUAGGUGGCAAGCGUUGUCCGGAAUUAUUGGGCGUAAAGCGCAUGUAGGCGGUCCUUUAAGUCUGAUGUGAAAGCCCACGGCUCAACCGUGGAGGGUCAUUGGAAACUGGGGGACUUGAGUGCAGAAGAGGAAAGUGGAAUUCCAAGUGUAGCGGUGAAAUGCGUAGAGAUUUGGAGGAACACCAGUGGCGAAGGCGACUUUCUGGUCUGUAACUGACGCUGAGGCGCGAAAGCGUGGGGAGCAAACAGGAUUAGAUACCCUGGUAGUCCACGCCGUAAACGAUGAGUGCUAAGUGUUAGGGGGUUUCCGCCCCUUAGUGCUGCAGCUAACGCAUUAAGCACUCCGCCUGGGGAGUACGGUCGCAAGACUGAAACUCAAAUGAAUUGACGGGG
rnacentral:rRNA from 1 species